UUUUGAUUAAUAAUUUAAAGUCUAAUCUGCCCACUGAUGAUAUAUUAAAGGGCUGCAGUAUUUUGACUGUACAAAGGUAGCAUAAUCAAUAGUCUCUUAAUUGGUGACUUGUAUGAAAGAUUUAAUGAGAUAUAAACUGUCUCUUUUUAAUUUAUAAAAUUUAAUUUUUUAGUUAAAAAGCUAAAAUAUAUUUAAAAGACGAGAAGACCCUAUAGAGUUUGAUAUUUAAUUAAAUUAAAAUUAUUUAUAAAAUUUAAAAUUUUAAUUUAAUUAAAUAUUUUGUUGGGGUGAUAAAAAAAUUAAAAGAACUUUUUUUAUAAUUUUACAUUAAUAAGUGAAUAAAUGAUCCGUAAUUUACGAUUAAAAGAAUAAAUUACCUUAGGGAUAACAGCGUAAUUUUUUUUUUUAGUUCAAAUAAGAAAAAAAGUUUGCGACCUCGAUGUUGGAUUAAGAUAAAAUUUAAAUGCAAAAGUUUAAAAUUUUUGAUCUG
rnacentral:rRNA from 1 species